rnacentral:rRNA from 1 species
UACAGAGGGGGCAAGCGUUGUUCGGAAUUACUGGGCGUAAAGCGCGCGUAGGCGGCCUGCUAAGUCGAACGUGAAAUCCCCGAGCUCAACUCGGGAACUGCGUCCGAUACUGGCAGGCUUGAGUCCGGGAGAGGGAUGCGGAAUUCCAGGUGUAGCGGUGAAAUGCGUAGAUAUCUGGAGGAACACCGGUGGCGAAGGCGGCAUCCUGGACCGGCAUUGACGCUGAGGCGCGAAAGCGUGGGGAGCAAACAGG